rnacentral:rRNA from 1 species
GUGCCAGCCGCCGCGGUAAUACGGAGGGUGCAAGCGUUGUCCGGAUUUAUUGGGUUUAAAGGGUGCGUAGGCGGCCCGUUAAGUCAGCGGUGAAAUCCCGGGGCUCAACCCCGGAACUGCCGUUGAUACUGGCGGGCUUGAGUUCGGUCGAGGCGGGCGGAACUGGCGGUGUAGCGGUGAAAUGCUUAGAUACCGCCAAGAACCCCGAUUGCGUAGGCAGCUCGCUUGGCCGAAACUGACGCUGAGGCACGAAAGCGUGGGGAGCGAACAGGAUUAGAU